GCCUAUGACCAGAUGACCCGAAAAUGUACCUGAUUUCGUAACAUUUCAAACACUAUAAGCAGGUUUAAGCCUGGUUAGUACUUGGAUGGGAGACUGCCUGGGAAUCGCAGGGGCUGUAGGCU
rnacentral:rRNA from 1 species